CUGAGAUUAGUGACAGGGAGACUUCCUGUUGUCCCUCAGAGACGCUCAGUGUCUCAGCAGCAACAUGUCCCUCAGCUCUGCAGCCUGGAGGAACCACAGCCUGGGUCUGGUUCUGGGGGGGGGGCGGGACCCGCCUCUGUCCGACCAGGGAGAGACCAUCAUCGGAGUCUACCUGCUGCUGCUGGGUGGGUGAGAGACACCAGAUGGUGGUUGUCCUGGUUUGGAAACAGCAUCGUCCUCUUCGUCCUCUACAGACAGAGAGCCGUCCUGCAGCCCAGUGACUACCUGACCUUUAACCUCGCCGUCUCCGACGCCAGCAUCUCCGUGUUCGGAUACUCCAGAGGCAUCAUCGAGAUCUUUAACGUCUUCCAGGACAGCGACUACCUCAUCUCCUCCAUCUGGACCUGCCAGGUACCUGAGACACAUCUGAGACACACCUGAGACAGAUCUGAGACACACCUGAGACUCACCUGACACACACAAGACACACCUGACACACACAAGACACACCUGAGACUCACCUGAGACAAACAUGAGACUCAUCUGAGACACACCUGAAGGUCACCUGAGACACACCUGAGACAUAUCUGAGACACAUCUGAGAGUCACCUGAGACACACCUGAGACACACCUGAGACACACCUGAGACUCAUCUGGGACUCACCUGAGACACACCUGAGACACACCUGAGACACACCUGAGACACACCUGAGACAUACAGUGG